rnacentral:rRNA from 1 species
UACGAAGGGGGCUAGCGUUGCUCGGAAUCACUGGGCGUAAAGGGUGCGUAGGCGGGUCUUUAAGUCCGGGGGGAAAUCCUGGAGCUCAACUCCAGAACUGCCUUUGAUACUGAGGAGCUUGGGUCCGGGAGAGGUGAGUGGAACUGCGAGUGUAGAGGUGAAAUUCGUAGAUAUUCGCAAGAACACCAGUGGCGAAGGCGGCUCACUGGCCCGGUACUGACGCUGAGGCACGAAAGCGUGGGGAGCAAACAGG